rnacentral:rRNA from 1 species
ACGAACGCUGGCGGGCAGGCUUAACACAUGCAAGUCGAGCGAUCCCUUCGGGGAUAGCGGCGGACGGGUGAGUAACGCGUGGGAACGUGCCCUUUUCUUCGGAAUAGCCCAGGGAAACUUGGAUUAAUACCGAAUACGCCCUUAGGGGGAAAGAUUUAUCGGAACAGGAUCGGCCCGCGUUGGAUUAGGUAGUUGGUGGGGUAAUGGCCUACCAAGCCGACGAUCCAUAGCUGGUUUGAGAGGAUGAUCAGCCACACUGGGACUGAGACACGGCCCAGACUCCUACGGGACGCAGCAGUGGGGAAUCUUGGACAAUGGGGGAAACCCUGAUCCAGCCAUGCCGCGUGAACGAUGAAGGCCUUAGGGUUGUAAAGUUCUUUCAGCGAGGAAGAUAAUGACUGUACUCGCAGAAGACGCCCCGGCUAACUCCGUGCCAGCAGCCCGCGGUAGUACGGAGGGGGCUAGCGUUGUUCGGAACUACUGG